CAGUGGGGAAUAUUGCACAAUGGGCGCAAGCCUGAAUGCAGCAACGCCGUGUGAGUGAAGAAGGUUUCGGAUCGUAAAACUCUGUCCUAAGGGAAGAACAAAUGACGGUACCUUAGGAGGAAGCCCCGGCUAACUACGUGCCAGCAGCCGCGGUAAUACGUAGGGGGCAAGCGUUAUCCGGAAUCACUGGGCGUAAAGGGUGCGUAGGCGGCUUUAGCAAGCCAGGGGUGAAAGGCAUUGGCUCAACCAAUGUAAGCCUUUUGGAACUGUUAGGCUUGAGUGCAGGAGAGGGUAAGUGGAAUUCCUAGUGUAGAGGUGAAAUUCGUAGAUAUUAGGAGGAACACCAGUGGCGAAGGCGACCUUACUGGACUGUAACUGACGCUGAUGCACGAAAGCGUGGGGUAGCGAACAGGAUUAGAUACCCUGGUAG
rnacentral:rRNA from 1 species